GAUGAACGCUGGCGGCGUGCCUAACACAUGCAAGUCGAGCGAACGGACGAGAAGCUUGCUUCUCUGAUGUUAGCGGCGGACGGGUGAGUAACACGUGGAUAACCUACCUAUAAGACUGGGAUAACUUCGGGAAACCGGAGCUAAUACCGGAUAAUAUUUUGAACCGCAUUGUUCAAAAGUGAAAGACGGUCUUUCUGUCACUUAUAGAUUGAUCCGCGCUGCAUUAGCUAGUUGGUAAGGUAACGGCUUAACAAGGCAACGAUGCAUAGCCGACCUGAGAGGGUGGUCGGCCACACUGGAACUGAGACACGGUCCAGACUCCUACGGGAGGCAGCAGUAGGGACUCUUACGCGAUGGGCGAAAGCCUGAUGGAGCAACGCCGCGUGAGUGAUGAAGGUCUUCGGAUCGUAGAACUCUGUUAGUAGGGAAGAACAUAUGUGUAAGUAACUGUGAACAUAUUGACGGUACCUAAUCAGAAAGCCACGGCUAACUACGUG
rnacentral:rRNA from 1 species